GGUUUCUGGAGGAAGGUUCGUCCGCUCCAGGUUAGUCGGGAGCUAAGGUGAGGCCUAACGGCGUAGCCGAUGCACAGACGGUAGAGAUUCCGUCACCACCAAAAGAGUUAAACACAGGGACACAUUUGAAGUCUCGGAGCCGGGUGUUGGUUCCGGUAGCGAUCGAGGGAAGUUAGUACCGAAGUCCGGGAUGGAAGAUGGCGAGAAAAGCUGUGUGUAUUUCUGCGGUGCCCGUACCGCAAACCGACACAGGUAGGUAGGAAGAAGAUUCUAAGGCCAACGGGAGAAGGGUUGUUAAGGAACUCGGCAAAUUGACCCCGUAACUUCGGGAGAAGGGGUGCUCCAGAGAUGGAGCCGCAGAGAAUCGGCCCAAGCAACUGUUUACCAAAAACACAGGUUUGUGCUAAAUCGAAAGAUGACGUAUACGAGCUGACGCCUGCCCGGUGCUGGAAGGUUAAGAGGAGAUGUGCAAGCAUUGAAUCGAAGCCCCAGUGAACGGCGGCCGUAACUAUAACGGUCCUAAGGUAGCGAAAUUCCUUGUCAGGUAAGUUCUGACCCGCAUGAAAGGCGUAAUGAUUUGGGCACUGUCUCGACAGCCCGCCCGGCGAAAUUGUAGUACCGGUGAAGAUGCCGGUUACCCGCGACAAGACGGAAAGACCCCAUGGAGCUUUACUGUAGCCUAAUAUUGGGUUUCGAUGUUGCAUGCACAGGAUAGAUGGGACACUGGGAAGCAAGUGCUUUGGCAUUUGUGGAGUGGCCGUUGGGAUACCAUCCUUGCGAUAUUGGAAUUCUAACCUGCGCCUUUGAAUCAAGGCGGGGGACAUUGUUAGGUGGGCAGUUUGACUGGGGCGGUCGCCUCCUAAAGAGUAACGGAGGCGUUCAAAGGUUCGCUCAGCUUGAACGGAAAUCAAGCAAAAGAGUGCAAACGCAGAAGCGAGCCUAACUGCGAGACUGACGGGUCGAGCAGUAACGAAAGUUGGAGUUAGUGAUCCGGUGGUAUGUGAGUGGAAAUGCCAUCGCUCAACGGAUAAAAGUUACCCUGGGGAUAACAGGCUGAUCUCCCCCAAGAGUCCACAUCGACGGGGAGGUUUGGCACCUCGAUGUCGGCUCAUCGCAUCCUGGGGCUGUAUUCGGUCCCAAGGGUUUGGCUGUUCGCCAAUUAAAGCGGUACGCGAGCUGGGUUCAGAACGUCGUGAGACAGUUCGGUCCCUAUCUGUCGUGGGCGCAGGAUAUUUGAUGGGAGCUGUUCCUAGUACGAGAGGACCGGAGCGGACGUACCUCUGGCGCACCAGUUGUUCUGCCAAGGGCAUAGCUGGGCAACUAUGUACGGAUCGGAUAAACGCUGAAAGCAUCUAAGCGUGAAGCCGACCCAAAGAUAAGAUAUCCCAUUGUUUCAAACAAGUAAGACCCCUUGAAGACUACAAGGUUGAUAGGCACGAUGUGUAAGUGGAGCGAUCCAUUCAGCAAGCGUGUACUAAUAGGUCGAGGGCUUGACCAC
rnacentral:rRNA from 1 species